UUAAAUGCCCGAAUAGUCCUUGUGGUUUGGCAUUUUUCACCUUUAGUUCCUAACUUUCUAAAAUUACACCUAUAGUCCCCAACUUUUUCAAUUUCGUUCCCGGAUAGUCCCUGGAGUGGAUGUCAGUUAGUUUGUCCAGUUAAAUGUGUUUAAAAUGACUAAAGUACCAUUACUAAUUAAAUCUAAUAAAUUAAAACACUAAAAUAAAUAUUAUUUUUAUAGGCCCACCUUCAUUACCCCAACCCACCCCCAAUUACCUCUACUUUCAUCAACUCAUCUUCAUCUUCUUCCCUGCAUACUCUAUAGAGAGAGAACACAAAAACUUACAGAGAAAAAGAGGAUGCAGAUAGAGAGACAAGAGAGCGAUACAGAGAGGGAGAAAGAAACAUAGCCAGCAAAGAGAGCGAUAGCUAGAGGGAGAGAAGAGACAGUGGUUGUCCAUGGUGGUUGUGGCCGGAAUCAAAGUUGCAGGUUUUCCAGACGACGACGUGGGUCGCCGGACAUCAGACCCGCUUCCGAAAUCUAACUUGAAUCUCUGUUUGUUGUGUUUCUUUUGCCCUAAUUUUUCAGUUAUCAAGGUUUUAGACCAAUCUUUUUUUAGGAUUUUAGAGAAACAGAGUGUGAAGAUGAGUGUAUUAUGUAUUUUUUUCAUUAAAGCAUAAAGUUGGGAUAAUCGUUCAUAUUCUAUGAAGGGCCUAAAGUGUGACAACUCGUAACUUUGAGAUAAAGGCCCAUCUAUUUCUCUUUUAUAAAUCAAAUCUUACAGUUAUUUGAUGGAUUAAUUAUAUGCUCAUUAAAAUUCUAGUGCGUCAACGAAUAUUUGAAACCAAAUCUUUAUCGUAUUAUACCGAUCCGAACCGUUUGAACCAAAUCAUAUAUCUCGCUUGCCAACCCAACCUACUCACGCAACCCGAAACCUUAGAGGGUCAAAAGAUAGCAUGGAUACUGUACACGACAUUGUUGAUGCAUUGUGGGUAUAAAUAUAUUUAUAUUAUAAUAAUAAUAGUAAUAAUUAAAUAAAUCAACAUAAUACUUAGUCAUAAUUAUUGGUUACAAAUUUGAAGAUUUAGUUUUGGCUGUGGAACGUACUGUUCGAAACCCAAACCCCCCAGCCCACCCAGCCUGAUCUCGGCCCACACAUUCGAAUUCCUUCACCGACUCUUCUUGUUCAGCGAUUAUUUUGCAUGGUUUGCAUAUAUAUAUAUACACACAUAAUGAUCUCUACCUCUACGCAAACCCUACCUGCCGCCUCACCUGAACCGCUCCUCCUCGCCCGAAACACUACGUCGAACCAACCACUACCUUCUUCUCCGGCGAGUUCACCGGCGAACACCGGACGCGAUUGAUCAAAAGUUAUUUUAGCAAGUAGACUAUCUGCCGAGCAAAUCAAGGUGAUUACUGAAGGAACUUGGGGAGCUUGCUGUCUGAUGCUGCUGGAGUGGUUAUGGUCAUAAUAAACAGUUGUCUUGAUUUGCUUUUGAUACAUUUACACACUUAUCCGUUUAUGCUUCCGCUCAGUAUUUUGGUUUUGGUUUAACUUUCAAACAAUACAUUUUAUUGAUUUGGUAUUUACUUAUAAC